rnacentral:snoRNA from 1 species
UGACGUUUGAUUACACUUUUGAUCUUAAUUUAAGUUUUUCUAAGGAGAUUACGAUUACCUGAAUUUUAAUUCAUUAGAAUUCUAUUUACUUGAUUGUUUUCUCUUAAAACUUAAUUAUCAGUAUUAUGAUCAUGGUCCGUUUCAAACAAGAUUAAAUAGGCGACUUACUCACCAAGAUAUACCAUUUCCUCCAUGGUUAUAUUGGUCCAUUUUCAGUGCCAGACAU